rnacentral:rRNA from 1 species
AACGAACGCUGGCGGCGUGGAUAAGACAUGCAAGUCGAACGAGGUUACUCUUGGUAGCAAUACCGAGAGUGACUUAGUGGCGAACGGGUGCGUAACACGUGGGCAAUCUGCCUUAAAGUGGGGGAUAGCUCGGCGAAAGACCGAAUUAAUACCGCAUGUGAUCAGCCAAGACAUCUUGGCGACAUCAAAGCCGGGGCGAACCUGGCGCUUUUGUAGGAGCCCGCGGCCAUCAGCUAGUUGGUGAGGUAACGGCCCACCAAGGCUUUGACGGGUAGCUGGUCUGAGAGGACGACCAGUCACACUGGAACUGAGACACGGUCCAGACACCUA